AUUGAACGCUGGCGGCAUGCUUUACACAUGCAAGUCGAACGGUAACAGGGAGCUUGCUCCGCUGACGAGUGGCGAACGGGUGAGUAAUAUAUCGGAACGUACCCAAGAGUGGGGGAUAACGUAGCGAAAGUUACGCUAAUACCGCAUACGAUCUAAGGAUGAAAGCAGGGGACCUUCGGGCCUUGUGCUCCUGGAGCGGCCGAUAUCUGAUUAGCUAGUUGGUGAGGUAAAGGCUCACCAAGGCGACGAUCAGUAGCUGGUCUGAGAGGACGACCAGCCACACUGGAACUGAGACACGGUCCAGACUCCUACGGGAGGCAGCAGUGGGGAAUUUUGGACAAUGGGCGCAAGCCUGAUCCAGCAAUGCCGCGUGAGUGAAGAAGGCCUUCGGGUUGUAAAGCUCUUUUGUCAGGGAAGAAACGGGAUUGGCUAAUAUCCAGUCCUAAUGACGGUACCUGAAGAAUAGGCACCGGCUAACUACGUG
rnacentral:rRNA from 1 species